ACGGGAGGCAGCAGUGAGGAAUAUUGCACAAUGGGCGAAAGCCUGAUGCAGCGACGCCGCGUGAGUGAUGAAGUAUUUCGGUAUGUAAAGCUCUAUCAGCAGGGAAGAUAAUGACGGUACCUGACUAAGAAGCUCCGGCUAAAUACGUGCCAGCAGCCGCGGUAAUACGUAUGGAGCAAGCGUUAUCCGGAUUUACUGGGUGUAAAGGGUGCGUAGGCGGUAUGGCAAGUCAGAUGUGAAAGACCGGGGCUCAACUCCGGGGCUGCAUUUGAAACUGCCAGACUGGAGUACAGGAGAGGCAGGCGGAAUUCCUAGUGUAGCGGUGAAAUGCGUAGAUAUUAGGAGGAACACCAGUGGCGAAGGCGGCCUGCUGGACUGUUACUGACGCUGAGGCACGAAAGCGUGGGGAGCAAACAGGACUAGACCCUGGUA
rnacentral:rRNA from 1 species